rnacentral:rRNA from 1 species
UACGUAGGGUGCGAGCGUUGUCCGGAAUUACUGGGCGUAAAGGGCGCGUAGGCGGCCUUCUAAGUCGGACGUGAAAUCCCUCGGCUCAACCGAGGAACUGCGUCUGAUACUGGAAGGCUUGAAUCCGGGAGAGGGAUGUGGAAUUCCAGGUGUAGCGGUGAAGUGCGUAGAUAUCUGGAGGAACACCAGUGGCGAAGGCGGCAUCCUGGACCGGCAUUGACGCUGAGGCGCGAAAGCUAGGGGAGCAAACGGG